AGUAACGAUAAAGCGGGUGAAAAGCCCGCUCGCCGGAAGACCAAGGGUUCCUGUCCAACGUUAAUCGGGGCAGGGUGAGUCGACCCCUAAGGCGAGGCCGAAAGGCGUAGUCGAUGGGAAACAGGUUAAUAUUCCUGUACUUGGUGUUACUGCGAAGGGGGGACGGAGAAGGCUAUGUUGGCCGGGCGACGGUUGUCCCGGUUUAAGCGUGUAGGCUGGUUUUCCAGGCAAAUCCGGAAAAUCAAGGCUGAGGCGUGAUGACGAGGCACUACGGUGCUGAAGCAACAAAUGCCCUGCUUCCAGGAAAAGCCUCUAAGCAUCAGGUAACAUCAAAUCGUACCCCAAACCGACACAGGUGGUCAGGUAGAGAAUACCAAGGCGCUUGAGAGAACUCGGGUGAAGGAACUAGGCAAAAUGGUGCCGUAACUUCGGGAGAAGGCACGCUGAUAUGUAGGUGAAGUCCCUCGCGGAUGGAGCUGAAAUCAGUCGAAGAUACCAGCUGGCUGCAACUGUUUAUUAAAAACACAGCACUGUGCAAACACGAAAGUGGACGUAUACGGUGUGACGCCUGCCCGGUGCCGGAAGGUUAAUUGAUGGGGUCAGCGCAAGCGAAGCUCUUGAUCGAAGCCCCGGUAAACGGC
rnacentral:rRNA from 1 species